rnacentral:rRNA from 1 species
UAGGUUUAGGGCACUGGAAGGUCCCUAAACCGAAAGGGGCUCUGCCCGCCCGAGGAUGGGCCGGCGGCCGAUUAGGUAGUUGGUGGGGUAACGGCCCACCAAGCCCAUAAUCGGUACGGGCAGUGAGAGCUGGAGCCCGGAGAUGGACACUGAGACACGGGUCCAGGCCCUACGGGGCGCAGCAGGCGCGAAACCUCCGCAAUGCUCGAAAGAGCGACGGGGGGACCCCAAGUGCCGUGGUACAACCACGGCUUUUCCGGAGUGUAAGAAGCUCCGGGAAUAAGGGCUGGGCAAGGCCGGUGGCAGCCGCCGCGGUAAUACCGGCGGCCCGAGUGGUGGCCACUAUUAUUGGGCCUAAAGCGUCCGUAGCCGGGCUUGUAAGUCCCUGGCGAAAUCCCACGGCUCAACCGUGGGGCUUGCUGGGGAUACUGCAAGCCUUGGGACCGGGAGAGGCCGGGGGUACUCCUGGGGUAGGGGUGAAAUCCUAUAAUCCCAGGAGGACCGCCAGUGGCGAAGGCGCCCGGCUGGAACGGGUCCGACGGUGAGGGACGAAGGCCAGGGGAGCAAACCGGAUUAGAUACCCGGGUAGUCCUGGCUGUAAAGGAUGCGGGCUAGGUGUUGCUUGGACCUCGAGUCCAAGC